UACUCGGAGGUCUCCGUACCCUGGUCGAUCUUCUUGGUUGUAAUUCGGCCGCUGGCUCUUCAUCGGCUUGUACUUCUAGCCCCUCAUCAGCUACGUCAUCUACUAUACCAUCAGUUGUAUAAUCAUCACUCAUGUCAUCAUCAACUGGUUCAUUUAUAAUAGGAUCACUAGCUAGAUCAUCAGUAUCAUUGAAUUCAUCUCGCCCGUCAUUGUGCUCCAAUGGAGAAGGAACUGGAUCCAAGUUAGCUGGAUAUUCUCUAGGAUUAUUAGGUUUAUCACCUCUUCGAAUGUCUUCAAUGUUCUGAUCUUCAAAGAAGACAACAUCUCUACUUCUAAUAAUCUUUCUAGCUACAGGAUCCCAUAACCUGUAACCGAAUUCUUCAUUCCCAUAUCCCACGAAGAUACAUUCUUUCGACUUUGCGUCGAGCUUGGAUCUCUCGUCUUUAGGAAUAUGAACAAAAGCUCUACAACCAAAAACUUUCAGAUGAUUGUAGGAAACGUCUUUUCCCGACCAGAACUUGUUCGGGACAUCACCAUUCAAAGGUGCUGAAGGAGAAAGGUUGAUUAGAUCAACCGCAGUCAUCAGGGCUUCACCCCAAAAACUUUUGGGCAGCUUGGCAUGAGAUAACAUUGUUCUUAUUCUUUCAACAAUUGUUCUGUUCAUUCUCUCAGCUAUGCCAUUAUGCUGAGGAGUCUUCGGAACAGAUCUUUCAUGCCUGAUUCCGUUACUUCUACAGUAGUUUCUAAACGCCCCCAUAUAUUCUCCUCCAUUAUCGGUGCGAAUACAUUUGAAGCUUCUACCAGUCUCUCGUUCAACGCUAGCAUGAAACUGCUUGAAAACUUCAUACACUUGAUCUUUUGUUCUAAGUGCGUAAGCCCAUACCUUCCUGGAAUGAUCGUCAAUGAAGGUAACAAAAUAUCUUGCACCACCAAGAGUACUAGUGGUCAUAGGACCACAAACAUCAGAAUACACAACAUCCAAUACAUUGGGUUUUCUUUGUGCAUGACCAUGUUGAAACGAAGCUCUAUGCUGCUUUCCAGCCAAGCAAUGCGUGCAUGAUUUUAGAGGCAUGCCUUUCUUCAUCCCAGUCAGUGCCUCUCUUUUGGCUAGAAUUUGCAGCCCUUUCUCGCUCAUGUGACCGAGCCGUUUAUGCCAUAGCUCGAUUGAGUCUUCUGCGAGAGCAUUUACGUACCCAUUACUGACUUUUGCAUGUGUCAUGUAUAAGGUGUUCUCCUUCUUCCCUCGUGCUAGGACAAGAGAGUUCUUGCUGAGUUUCCAUUUCCCUUCAGCAAAGACAUUGGUGUAUCCUUCAUCGUCAAGUAAUCCAGUGGAGAUUAGAUUGAGACGCAUGUCUGGAACAUGUCUCACAUCCUUGAGGACCAAGUGACAACUUGUGUUGGUUUCAAGGGAAAUAUCUCAUCUUCCCACGAUCUUGGACAAUUUGUCAUUUCCCAUCCUCACAUUACCAAAAUCUCCAUUGGUGUAAGAUGUAAAGAAGUCCCUCCGUGAGGUGACAUGAAAUGAUGCACCAGAGUCCACUAUCCAGCAUGUAUCUUGAGAGGACAAAUUAACGAAGCCAUCACCACAUAGAAUAAUUACCUCAUUUCCAUCAGAAGUAGUUGGGGUCGUGUGCUUGGCAUCACUUUUUUCGUUACCUCUAUCUUGCUCUCGUUUAAACAACCUGCACUCUCUUUUCAUGUGGCCUAUCCCGCCACAAUGGUAACAUUCUAGGUCCUUUCUUGUCUUGGACCUUCCUCUCGAGCCAUCUCUUGAC
rnacentral:lncRNA from 1 species